CAUACUUCUAAUUGAAGGGUUACGGUUACGCUUGAAUACAAGUGGUGAUCAAUACUCGUGUGUGGUACAAAUCUAUAUACGCAUUUUAAACAUGGCGGACUGUGUGUUACUCGUGAUAUCUAUAGCACUAUUUGGUUUUGUACAUUGCGACGAUAGCAAAGACGAAGAUGACAAAAAAGGGCAAGUAUUUGUUUCUCUAUAUAUACACUUAAGACCGGCAUGCCAUUCAAAAAGCAUUUCAUUACAUUGAAAUAAGAAAUAAGUUUCACAAAGUGAAAGUGGAUUUUCAAAACGUUUUUUGCAUUUUUUGAUAAAUUUUACGGAAUGUUAUAAAUUUUCAGUUUUGUUGUAUUAAUUUCCUAUUUUUGAUUUAAAAUAUUCUUUUAAGGUAUUGGACUCAUAAUAGUAAUGUUUACCAAAUGGAAUUUGCUUAGUGUAUUCUUAAAGUUGGUCGAGUUUCGCACUGUAUUGCAAUUCUUAAACAACUUUUACCGUGCCGUUUUUUUUUGUUGUUGUUUUUUUUUAUUAUAAAUUUUAUAUAAUUUAUGGUAUUUCCACAAGCUCAAGUAGAGACAAAUUACAAAGUGAUGGCCACUAUCCAAAAACGUUUGCAGAGAAUUCAUUUUACCAUUAAAUUUGAUAAAAGAAUCAUCGAACUAUUGGUAAACAAUUAUAAAACACAGAAUAAAACUGUCCAUAUAAUAUUUUCUAGGGAGCCUCAAGUACACGGAUUUAAUGAGACAGAAUUCUAACUCCAACAUUGAAAACUUAAGGUCGAAUCUUGCGGGUCUGUUUUGAAUUUUGCUCAUUUAAUUCAAAAAUAACCUUGGGGCAGAAGUAAAAACCUACUACAUUUCUUCCACAAUAUGUAAUCUAAAGAGAGAAGGCAAAAUAGAGAACUUUUACCGCAUGUAACUCUUUUAAGAUGUCUAACUCUACCCCGUCUGUGUUAAAGGUAAAUUCACAUUGAACAGCAAGAAAUCACUUAUCAAAUGAAAUUUUUCCCAUUUUGUACAAUAAAUCAAUAACAAGUCUUGAAAGAAGUAAAAACAUACUAGUAAAAAAGGAAAGUAAGUUAAAAAAUGGUCCCAGUAGGGCUUGAACCUACGCCCCCUCACCCCUCUGAAAAUUGCAGUCAAAGUAGGUUUAUGGUUCGAAUUGAAAACUCUUAAAAAAGGAGGUACUCUGUUACGGGUCUGAUACCUUAAACACGUUAGUAAAAUACUUUUUGAACCGAUGUCCUUCUCGCAAACGUCUCGGAAUUCCUUUCAGUUUUACACUUAAUUUCCUUUAAUUGUCUGGACGUAGAUUUAUUUUCUUUUAGGUCUAAAUAUCUAGUUGUUGACUUUAUCUAGUUCCAGUUCUGGACUUACAUUGGGUCAGUAUGCGGCCAUUGGCAUAGGUGGCGCUGUUGUUCUUGCCCUCAUCAUCAUUGGUAUCGUUGCACUGAUUAUAAAGUGCAAUAAGAUGUCCAAGGCAUCGGUACAGCCUACACAGGGCAAACAUGAUGUUGUAACGAUAUUGCCACCUAGAGAAGGAGUAGCUAACAAAAGCCCUCUGUACGACGACCCACCACCAAUGUACAGUCUGCGUGAUCAAGGUCCAAGCAAUGAUGUUUAUCUGCCACCUUAUUCGAAGACCAAUCCGACCAAACACGCUAUUUGAAUUUCACACUGUUUAAAGUAUCAAACAUUUUUUAAAGAAAGUGUGGCUGUGAUUAGAAGUUUAUUCUGCUCUUAACAAACGAGCCGUUUCAUGAGAAAACCAACAUAAUGGCUUUGCGACCAGCAUGGAUCCAGACCGCGCAGUCUAAUCAGGAUCCAUGCUGUUCGCUAACAGUUUCUGUAAUUGCAAUAGGCUUUGAAAGCGAACAGCAUGGAUCCUGACCAGACUGCGCGGAUGCACAGGCUGGUCUGGAUCCAUGCUGGUCGCAAAGCCACUAUGUUGGUUUUCUCAAGGCGCGGCUCAAAUGUUAAAUAGAAUAAUGUGCUUUGAUUUUUUUCCAAACAGUACUGUUUUUAAAACGUAUUUUUGACAACAAGCUUUGUAUUAAAUUUGAUUAUUUUUUAUGUUUAAAGCAAUAAUUUC